rnacentral:rRNA from 1 species
AGCAGCCGCGGUAAUUCCAGCUCCAAUAGCGUAUAUUAAAGUUGUUGCAGUUAAAAAGCUCGUAGUUGAACUUCGGGGUCUACCCAUUGGUCAGGCUUAAUUGUCUGUACUGGUGAGAUGGAUCUCUACCUUCUGAGGAACUUUCAUGCCAUUUAUUUGGUGUGGUUGGAAAUCAGGACUGUUACUUUGAAAAAUUAGAGUGUUUAAAGCAGACUAUCGUCUGAAUACAUUAGCAUGGAAUAAUGAAAUAGGACGGACUGAUUCUAUUUCGUGGUUCUAGGAUCACCGUAAUGAUUAAUAGGGAUAGUUGGGGGCAUUAGUAUUCAAUUGUCAGAGGUGAAAUUCUUGGAUUUAUGAAGACUAACGUACUGCGAAAGCAUUUGCCAAGGAUGUUUUCAUUAAUCAAGAACGAAAGUUAGGGGAUCGAAGACGAUCAGAUACCGUCGUAGUCUUAACCAUAAACUAUGCCGACUAGGGAUCGGACGAAGUUAAUUUUAGUAAUGACGCGUUCGGA